rfam:Fonsecaea pedrosoi CBS 271.37 unplaced genomic scaffold supercont1.4, whole genome shotgun sequence.
GGGCGCAUAGCUCAGGGGUAGAGCGCUCGCUUUGCAUUACCCUCAACGAGUGACACGAAGGGAAUAAAUGUGCGAGAGGUCAUGGGUUCAAAUCCCAUUGUGUCCA